UACGUAGGGGGCAAGCGUUGUCCGGAAUCAUUGGGCGUAAAGAGCGCGUAGGCGGUCCGGUAAGUCCGCUCUGAAAGUCCGGGGCUCAACCCCGGGAGGCGGGCGGAUACUGCCGGGCUAGAGUCCGGAAGAGGCGAGUGGAAUUCCUGGUGUAGCGGUGAAAUGCGCAGAUAUCAGGAGGAACACCGAUGGCGAAGGCAGCUCGCUGGGACGUUACUGACGCUGAGACGCGAAAGCGUGGGGAGCGAACAGG
rnacentral:rRNA from 1 species